rnacentral:rRNA from 1 species
AACGAACGCUGGCGGCAUGCCUAACACAUGCAAGUCGAACGAGACCUUCGGGUAUAGUGGCGCACGGGUGCGUAACGCGUGGGAACCUGCCCUUAGGUUCGGAAUAACUCCCCGAAAGGGGUGCUAAUACCGGAUAAUGUCUUCGGACCAAAGAUUUAUCGCCUUUGGAUGGGCCCGCGUUGGAUUAGCUAGUUGGUAGGGUAAAAGCCUACCAAGGCGACGAUCCAUAGCUGGUCUGAGAGGAUGAUCAGCCACACUGGGACUGAGACACGGCCCAGACUCCUACGGGAGGCAGCAGUGGGGAAUAUUGGACAAUGGGCGAAAGCCUGAUCCAGCAAGGCCGCGUGAGUGAUGAAGGCCUUAGGGUUGUAAAGCUCUUUUACCCGGGAUGAUAAUGACAGUACCGGGAGAAUAAGCUCCGGCUAACUCCGUG